UGUUAAUUGAAGAGAUCAUUUCCAUGCCAAUAAAAGAAGAAAACUACUGUCCUUCUCAUUUUUGGUGUCUAUGGGUUACGGAAUCGAUCGAGUAAAAGAUCUAAGUGCAUCAGCAGUCAGAGACUAUUGUGGCUUCCUGAAAGGAAUCUGCACACCAGAGGCUGUCUGUCUCCAAAUAGUUCUGCUUUUGCAAAGUCCUUCUCCUCAGUGCUGAGACUCUACUCUCAUGAAGGUACAAUCAGGGUGAGUUUCCUGCUGUUUGUUUGCCUGUGGAAUCAGCGUCCC